rnacentral:rRNA from 1 species
GACGAACGCUGGCGGCGUGCUUAACACAUGCAAGUCGAACGGAAAGGCCCUGCUUUUGUGGGGUGCUCGAGUGGCGAACGGGUGAGUAACACGUGAGUAACCUGCCCUUGACUUUGGGAUAACUUCAGGAAACUGGGGCUAAUACCGGAUAGGAGCUCCUGCUGCAUGGUGGGGGUUGGAAAGUUUCGGCGGUUGGGGAUGGACUCGCGGCUUAUCAGCUUGUUGGUGGGGUAGUGGCUUACCAAGGCUUUGACGGGUAGCCGGCCUGAGAGGGUGACGGGCAAGAUUGGGACUGAAAUACGGCCCAGACUGCUCCGGGAGGCAGAAGUGAGGAAUAUUGCACAAUGGACGGCAGCCUGACGAAGCAAAGCCGCGUGAGGGAUGAAGGCAAUCGGGUUGCAAGCCGCUUUCAACUGUGAAGAAGCGUGCGUGGCGGUAAUGGGUAAAGAAGCACCGGCUACCUCCGUG